GCCCUGGUGGCAUAGUGGUUAAAUGCCGGUACUCACAGCAACUAGGUUGUGAGUUCAAUUCCAGCCAAGGGCU